AGCCAGGGCCAGCACUGAGGAGACACCGAGAGCCGUGGGAGGUCCCCCGCGGGCCCCAGGGGUGGGAGGACUCUGUCUGUGAGCUCGUCCCGGCCUUGACUCUGUUUCAGGAAAACCCAAGGCAACCGACACCGGGCCCCAGGCUUCUCACUUUCCCCGGAGGGAACCCACGGCUUCCAGAGCACUUCUCUGAAAACGGACAGGCACUGUGGGAAACCCGAGUUUCCAGCUCAUCGGGGAAGGCGGCGUCCCCGAUGCAGGAGACUGGAAACGGCCGAGGAAUGAAAUGUCUGCCUCGAUGUGAAAGAGCUUUGGGUUUUCCUGUCCGUGGGCGACGAGCAGGACGACCAAUCGGGAAAAUCAGCGUUUCUGGGGCGCCUCAGUCACGCGUCGGGAAACCCACAGGUGCCGCGUCUGGACUCCCGGGUGUCACAUGGUGGCAGAGGUGGGCCGGGGGCGGGGGGGGGCCCCCCCUCUCUGCCUUUCACGUGACCAUUGACCCGGAAGGUCAAUGCUGCACACUUAAAGCGCGGCGCUGGGGACGAGAGGUACCAACCCCGCAGGCCAAGGGACCCCAUCCUCUUUUCCUCCUGCUGGCACGAGGCUGUCUGCUGGGGCGUCAGUGGCAGGGAGAGGCCUCCGUUGUUGUACGAGGUACAGUAAUUAAUCACCUCUUCGAAGGCCCCCUUCAUGAAGUAAACGUCUUCCUGGUCCUUGGGAAAGAAGAAAAGGAAAACGGCUGCCGUCAUUGGGUCGGCUCCUUGGAGAACUUUGAUCCGCAGCCUCUCUGUGCAUCAGGUGCCCUGUUAAUGUCACCGAGAGCAUCCCAUACGUGUCAUCAGCCACACCCCAGCCACUGUUAGGCCUUUAUGUGACUGACUGACUGCGGGACGUCUGUUUCCACUGGGACUGUCGCCUCCCGAGGGCAGGUCCCCUUUCUGUUUUGUUCACCCCUGCACGUGGCUCAUCGAGCCCCGAACCGUUCCCCUGUGUAUUCGUUAAGCUCGGUCUCCUGCGGAUGGUAAGCUCCACGCGGAAGGCGCCGUGACAGCCCGGGUCACACUGUCCCCGGCAUUAGCAUGGCGCCUGAAAGCUCACGGCGGGCGGGGGGAUGAGGUUGUGUGAACCGAUACGGAAAGAUGCCUGAGACAUCACUGAAAGGGGAGAGAGCAGAUUACAAACCCCACACACAGCGCGACCUAAUUUUAAAACUACCACCCCCGUACGUCGCUCUGUGCAUGUUCAGGACCUCAAAGGUCCCAUCCCAGACUGUGGAGGGGGGCUGCCUUGGGUCGGGAGACACGAAGGGCAGGAUUAUACAGCACUUUCGUUUUUAAGUCACGUUUCUAGAAUUUAUUUCAGUGAGAAUAUAUUACCAGGGUCUUUGGGGAGAAAAAAAGAUGUGAAGGUGAGCGCAAGGGUGUAUCUGUGUGCACGCACGUAUGAUGCGUGAGCUUGCCGCUCACACCAUCUGGGGUGGGUGCUGGGAUGUGCCUCCUGGUCCCCCGCAGGGCUGAAGGGCUGUCCCCACCUGGUGACGAUCUGCGGCACUCAUACGUGUAAAGAACUCAGCACCAGGAUGUUAAGAAGGGACCUCCAAGUUAGCAAGAGGGUUCGCCGCUAACAGUGGGAGCCCACGUCAAAAUUCCCUGCCCGCACAGAGAAGCUGCAUUUUUAACCGAUUCCCCGGGGGAUGCUGCUGGUCUGGGAAGCCCGCCUUGAGAACCACCGUUUCAGACAAAAAUCUCGGCAGGAGACGCCGAAUGAUCAAAGGAAUCUUUAACAUCAGCUAAGCCCAUCUAGGAAAAGCAAAUGCCACGCUUCUCGUGAGUCAUCCUGAGCCAGCCUCGCUGCAAAGCUCAGGCCGCCUCCGUUAUUCAUUUGUCAAACCAUUUCUGGCAGGGGCAGGGCCAGCUGGUCCUGGCGACUGCUUCUGGCCAAAACGUGCUCAGAAACAAAAGCCCGUGGGCUCCCCUCCAGGAGGAAUGUUCCAGACUCAAAAAGUACCCGGACAGAGAGUCUAUCUGUGGGAUUAAAUCUCAUGGGGAUUGAUCAGGAAGAAAAAAAAUGCCCGAAAAGGCUCUUCGGGAAAGUCUUGUGAAUGACCCUGCAUUCCUCCAAAAGACGGGUCGACGUCCUAACCCCUCAGUGUCUGCGAACGUGGUCUUGUUUGGAAACUGGGUCUCGGGGGGUGGAACCAAGUUAAGAUGAGGUCAUUAGCGUGUGUCCAGAUCCGAUAAGACGGGUGGUCCUUGGACGAAGGGGACAGGGCCACGUGAAGACGUGUCCGUGAGCCAAGGAGCAUGUGGCACGACUGGUCACAGGUGGAGGGGAGGGGACCAGGGCGCUGCCCACACCUUCCUUUCAGACCUCCAGCUUCGGGAACCGUGACAGAGUAAAUUCCUGCUGUUUCAGGCGCCCAGGUGGUGGUCCUUUAUUUCAGCCACUCCGGGGAAACCAGCAAGGGCGUGACCGUGGAGAAAUGGUUCAGAACCACUGACCUCGACCCUGAGACAGGUUUGAGGACAGACAUGAUAAACACAGAGCUCCGAGCACCGAGCCUGCCACACGGUCACGGGAGGCACUUCAUACAUGUCAGCUGUCACCAGGCUCCCCUACUGGUUCCCACGGAAGAGUAAAUCGUGACCCGUAAAGGAGAGGGGGUUCUGGAACAUCGGUCCUCUCUGGGCUGCACGGGAGGCAGGCGGCGGGAGCAGGGGUGGAGACCCCACACCGGGGUUCUCUCCUGCUGGGACAGUCAGGCCACUGUCCCCGUCCCGGAUGGGAGCCUGCGGUUGAACAGGGCCAGCUGGGGACCUUUCGGAAGAGGCAGUAAGGUCUAGUCGGUAUGACUGUCAUCCUGGAAAGAAUUUUCUUCCCUGAGUGUCACAGUUUCUUAACAUAGCUUGUUUACAGUUAGAGGGACUUUCUGUUUUAAGUUUAUUUAUUUUGAGAGAGAGACAGACACAGAGACGGUAGGGGAGAGGCAGAGAGAGAGAGGGAGAGAGAGAAUCCCAAGCAGGCUCUGCGCUGUUGGCACAGAGCCUGAUGCGGGGCUCGAACUCGUGACCUGAGCCUAAAUUAAAAGUCGGCUGCUUAACCCACUGAGCCACUCAGGUGCCCCUACAGUUAUUUUUUUAAAUAUUUAUCUUUGAGAGAGAGAGAGGAAGACACUGCGUAAGCGGGGGAGGGACAGAGAGAGAGGGAGACACAGAAUCCGAAGCGGGCUCCAGGCUCCGAGCUGUCAGCACAGAGCCCGACGCUGGGUUCGAACUCACGGACGGUGAGAUCACGACCUGAGCCGAAGUCGGAUGCUUAACCGACUGAGCCACCCAGGCACCCCUACAGGGACUUAUUCCGAGGGUGACUCUUCUCCCCCUCCUCCACCCAACCUUGCAGCACUGUCUGCCUGAACCCGGCAGAGAUGGGUAGCUGGGUCUUGGGCUGGGGGAGGGACAGGGGAACAGACGGACGGCAAAGCCGUCCUGGGGGCCUGGAUGAGCGAGGGAAGGGAAGUAAACCUGAAGGGAGAGCCCGAGGCAGCCGUGGGAGGAAGGACAGAGGGGCCCCAGCACCAGAGGCAGCAGGAGGAAGGGGCAGAGGGGCUGAGGAGGACGCAGGGGUCAGCUGGUGCAGGACAGGCACCCCGAGGUGGGCCUGGGUCCCUCUGGGGAGGGGUGUGAUCAGACCUCCCGUUUGUGCCCAAGGUGGAGCAGGUACCUGGCCCACCCCACCGCCCACCCCUCAACAUCCAGGGCAGCGGCUCCCCGCCUAGCUCUGGGCACAGAAUGGGGGCAUUUCUGCAAAGUCACAGACUCAGGGUCUGAGCACGGAGCCCUGCGAUCCGUCAAAUGCACUAAAAGGAAGGGGUCUUCCUGCACGGGACCUCGGGGGCCACCAGAUGGGUCAUUCCUCUGUCUCGCCAGCACCUCCGUGGGGUCUGAGCCACGGGAUGCCCCAGGAUUCUUGUGGGAUGGUCGGGAAGGGUUAGAGGCCUGCAGAAUGUUCCAGAAGCACACAGCAUCUCAGAGCCCAUCUCCUCCACCAGCCGGCGACAGCCUAAGGAUGUUCGGGGCCACUCUCUCCAUUGUUACUAAGCUUCUCCACUCCUCAUUUGCUCAGACGGGCGCCCGAGUUCCGCCCCUCUUCCAGCCCCCAGCGGAAGCCCUCCCGGUGUAGACCAUCAAAGGGUCCCUACCUUCAUUGCCAGGGCGAUCAGGGCACCUUCCGUGGGCUGUCCCAUCACGGCGUUUUUUCUGAUGAUGGCGUUGUUGGCCACACAGCCUGCCUGAAAGGCGGGAUUUUGGAAGAUCUGCACUUAACUCUUGGGAGCUGGCCCCCCUCGGGGUCCUGGGCUCACUCAGGCAUGUGAAAAAGCCACACGCGGCAGGCUUGACCCAUUUGGGGGGCGAGGGCCGGGGUGGGCGUGAGGGGCAAGACGUGCUCUUUAAAAUACAUCCCAGUCCCCGCUCUUCAAAAUAAACACAGUGAACAUUUACUGACUCUGCUGAACCCUGGCUGUCACAGGCCGGAUGGUGGGGAGGCUGGGGCGAUAAGAGUGGCCCCUGAUGGGCACGGGGUUCCUGCUUGGGGUGACAGUGUCCUGAAAUUAGACGUGGCAGUGGCUGCACAACUCUGUGAAGGUGCGAAAACCACUGAACCGUAUGCUUAAUUUAAAGCAGGGAAUUCUGGGGCGCCUGGGUGGCUCAGUGGGUUGAGCGUCCGACUUCGGCUCAGGUCAUGAUCCCAUGGCUCGUGGGUUCGAGCCCCGCGUCGGGCUCUGUGCUGACGGCUCGGAAGCCGGAGCCUGCUUCGGAUUCUGUGUCUCCCUCUCUCUCCGCCCCUCCCCCACUUGUGCUCUGUCUCUCUCUGUCUCUCAAAAAUAAAUAAAUAUAAAAAAAAAAUUUUAAGGGGAGAAUUUUGGGGUACAGGCCCGUCACUCUCAAUUUAAAAAGACAACGAAAAUAAUAGAAGGAAACACACGACACGCGCGUGGGGGUGAAUCCCAGCUCCCUCCCUCCUGGGCAUGCACAUCACCUCUCUGAGCCCGUUUCUUAAUCUGCGCACUGAGAUCACAGGACGGGCCUCGGCCUCGAAGGGGUGCUGGGAUAGUUAAGUGGCACCAGUGAGGCGGGACCUUCACGGCUCACGACAAAUUCUAGAAGACAGCGGCUCAGUUCACACCUCGGAGGGCACCGGGUGUGUGGGAGGCGUGAGUCCGGCUAAUACAACUCGUGUCGACAAUCAAACAGGCUCAUCGUCCGGCGUUCAGUGAA